rnacentral:lncRNA from 13 species
AGAAAUUCUGCCUACUAAAUCUAAUAAUAAAAAAUUACAGCUCAUGCUUAGUGCUUUUAUGUCUGUGAACAGAUUGAAAAUUUUCAAAAGAAAAAAAAAAGGAAGGAAGAGAGAAAAGGAAAUUGGCCCUCCUUCACGAAAAAGUUGAGAAGAGUGGUCUUUGAUGAAUCAGGCUUGGCCUAGCCCUUGCAGAUGGGUGAGACUUCCACAGCUAACUAUAUGGAACAAGGGUGGAACAAGGCCAGUCAGCAGCAUCUAUUCAAAAGGAGGGAUUCCGGGAACAAAUGAAGACAAAGACAGUUUGCACAGUCGGAAGACAGGAAGUCUGUUCUUUCCACAGCCUGCAUAAAGAAGACACAUCUUUUUGAUUAAAGUGCAGCUUUCAUGCCCUUCUCUGGCAGGCUGCCAAGCUGGCUUAAGGUGAGCUCUGCUAUUUUAAGGUGGAAUUGUUUGCAUUUGACUUGAAAAGACUCAUUAUUCCAUAGCUCACUUUUUCACACUGCCUCAGAGGGGAAGCAGCAAUUUAAACCUGAAGAAACAAUAUGGAGGAAAUGACCCCUGGCCCCCGAGGGAGAGUCUGAAAAACAAGAAUCCAAAGGACCUAAUUCCACAGCUUUCACCGUUCCCAGUGGCACUUCCUGUGGUUCCAAGAAACUUCAAUUCUACCUGAUAGGGUUAAAUGUCUGCAGACACUUCCAUCAUAAAUUCCCACAACAAAAGAUUAUUAUUCCAUUGUAAAAAUCACUAAGUCUUCAGAUUUAUUCAGUCUAGGUGGCCUUUUUGUUCAUUUAUCUUGUAAAUGUAUCCACUCAGAAAUCCGUAUAGCUGCUCAGAAUUUGAAUUGAUUCCAGCAAAGCAUAAACAUUGUGGAUUGCUAGCUUUUUUUUUAUUUUUUUUGAAGACUGAUCUGUUUUAUAUUAUUUUAGUAAAAUAUCUUGGUCUUUUAGCCUGAAAAGUCAUUGGGUCUGUGUUUGAAAAACAAAUCGAUGUGCACACGCACAGACAUGGGCAAGCUGUGCUGUUAAGCCGCAAAUAUGGCUGCCUCUCUCCACCCCUGCUGUGCUAUAACACUUAGCCACGAUGUGCUCCCUGAACUAAAAUUGCCUGAGAUAAUUACUGGGUUUCUUAACCAACACAUUGUAUCAUUUGUUCGUCUCAAGUUUAAAAAAAAAAUUAUUCAUUAUUGAUUGUCUUUGUGGGCCCAGAGUUUGGGAAGCACUGAGUACGACUUUUGACCACUCGUAAGCCAAACUGAAAUUGCUAGCUCCCACCCCAAGUGAAUGAAGGCGCUCCCUCUCCCCCAAGGACAUGCCAAAGAAAUCUGAAAAACUAGUUCCGGUGGUGACAGG